UCUCUCAGGUGUUUGCAGUCAGACUCUGACUGAAUCUGAAGCAGCGCUGAAACGACCUGGAGAAUCCCACACACUGACCUGUACAUGUGCAGGAAUAUCAGAUCAGCUGGAUCAGACAGGCUGAAGGAAAAGUACCAGAGUGGGUCGCACACAUUUCUGCUACCAGUGGAACCAUCAUAUGUUAUUCUCCAUCAGUGCAGAACUGCUCCUGAGACAACAACAAGGAUCAGGUGUAUCUGCUGAUGAGCAGCUUGAAGACUCUGCAGUUUAUUAUUGUGCCCGAAGAGCUGCAGUGAUACAGGAAGCCACAGAGCUGAUCACAAACCCAGCAGCUGUCUUUGAGUUAAAACAGCCAAAGAAACAGGAGCUUCUAAAGAGUUUCGUUUUUCAAUAAAUCUAUUGUUUUAUUUGUAGGAGAAUUUAUUUGAUCAAUUAAAGACUGAAUUAAAUAUUCUUUUUCAAACAUAUUUUACAUCCUUUAUUUAUAAGUAGGAAAUAGAAAAAGCUCAAUAGUGAAGUAAAUUUUGAGCUUGACAAAUUUAGUCAGGAGGCUGACUUGCUGUGUGCAGAAAAUGCUUUGAUUUUUUUGGGCAAUUGAUUUUAAGCUGUAAUGGCAAAUUUCAAAAGCCAAUGAUCCUAAAAGAUUUUUGUCAUGCCCCUUAACAACGUUCUAACAUAGUAUAGCUAUAAAUAUAUCAUGAAGAUUAAAAAAAGUAGAAAAGUGUUUUUCUCGCAUUUCUCUGAAAACCUCAGCCAAUAACACGUUUCGGACCAACAAUUGGUUCUUGGUCUCGGCGAACCAUCGCACGUCCUUGUGUCCUCCACUCAUUACGCACUUGUGUAACAGAACAUCACUAGUGUGAACGUUUCACAAAAAGAAGGAGAAACAGACGGCUGCUACCACUUUAACUUUUGGACAAACUACCUGAGUCCCAAAAAGAAAAGCACCAUUUGAAAUCACGGACAACAAAACACGUUUGGACAUAGAAAAUGGCAACUGGUCUUUAGUGCUCUCUUGUAUCCUCCGGCAUCGCAGUUUCCAGGUUUCCAGGUUUCCAGGUUUCCAGUUUCCAGCAGAAGCGUCUCAGGGAAGAUACCCGAGGGGAGUGGUGAGUGUUCUGUAACCAUGUUUACGUUCAAAACCUAGCUUGUUCUGUAGAUUUGUUAUAACAGCUUUAAACUUGCUUAAAAGGUGCUUUCAAUGAAACUAUAUUAAAAGCUCUGCUACCAGAGCAUUUUCCCUUAGUGUCCCUUAGUGAAGAAAUAAAACCGCUGUUGGGUCAUUUUUACCAGAGACAAACAAAAACACAAAACAAACCAUCUCACAUCUAGAACCUUCUGUUAUGUUCCAUCUCCACUCACAACACGUUCACUUUAGUCUGCUGAACUUGUUAGGUGUUAAAACAGCUGCUUCAAAACAUCUUCUCUGUUGAGCGUUUUUUUUAUUAGACAACUAAAGAAAGCAAACAAGACCAAUAAUUGAAGAAAUGGUGAGUUUAUGAAAAUGUAACCAAAUCAGGUUGAAAAUUCAACCCUUUUUAGCCUUGAGGAGGAGGAGUCGAUAACACCUCAGACGUCUUCUACCUCUACUUAUAUCUGAGUGGAGAGUUGGACAGACCCUCAGAGGAAUCACAGUUUGACAUGAUGGCUCACAGAACCAGGCUGCUGCUGCUGCUUUUAUCUUUCUGCUGGGCAGGUGUUUCUGGCCAGACUCUGACAGAAUCUGAACCAGCUGUUAAAAGACCUGGAGAAUCCCACAGACUGACCUGUACAACAUCUGGAAUCUCCUUCAGCAGCUACUGGAUGGCCUGGAUCAGACAGGCUCCUGGGAAAGGUCUAGAGUGGAUCGCAAUCAUAGAAAAUGACAGUGAUAGGAUCUUCUACUCCGAGUCAGUCCGAGGCAGGUUCACCAUCUCCAGGGACAACAGCAGAGAGCAGCUGUUUCUGCAGAUGAACAGUCUGAAGACUGAAGAUUCUGCUGUUUAUUAUUGUGCUCGAGAGACACAGUGACUGAAGUCAGUGGGGCAGCUGGACAAAAACCCAAUGUAUUAUAAAUUCUUCUCCUUAAAUGGAAAAUGGCUUGUUUUUGCAAAUCGCCUUUUUAAAAACAUGAAUAUACUUUUUACGUUUGCAAAGUGACAAAAUAGUAAGGAAGCAUAUUUGCUAUGGAAAUUUUUAAUAAAAAUGUUAUUACACAUAUGUUCAAUCGACUGAUUCAGGGGGAACUCACUGAGAUUCAUGUACUCUAUCUAACUCAGAAUAUUUUAAAGUGAACCAUAAACUCGAACUUUGAAUAUAACUGUGUUAUAUUAUCAAAAUAAUGCUAAAUGAAU